ensembl:lncRNA
AAAGAACCGAGGAUGGUGCCUGAGAUGGAGGACACAGGCCAUGCUGUUUUCUGAGUGGGCGGAUAUAGGACCUGGAGAGUCAAAUCGGAGACGGUCCCGUUUGUGCCGUCUAUUAUGGGAGGGACCUCAAGCUUAUGACUUCUCCAUGACGGCAGCGAGGGAUGAAAGGGCAUGAAACGUACCUACUGUGAGGGGAGAGUUGGCCUUCACAGCAGGGACAGGCAAGGGCUCUGCAAAAGGCCUACUCGGAAACGGCUCUCAGGCACAGGCUGAAGGUUUCUCUAUAAGGAAAAGGACAUACAAAGGAGGAGAGUGGACGUUCUAGCUAAUGGAUCCGAUGAGCAGAGACAGGUCAGGGUACAAGUCUAAAAGCUACCUGCCAAGAUGAACAAUGAUCUUCUAUCAACAUCACUGUCUGAGCCCAGAAUUCAUAAAACAGAGCAAAUGUGGUCGGCUCCCCAGUGAGCACCGGAGAGCCAGCUCCACUCUCCAAUGUUCUAUUGCUAUUAAUACAGGAGAUUGAUUUUUUUUUCAAAAGGGAC